rnacentral:rRNA from 1 species
GUACGUAGGGUGCAAGGCGUUGUCCGGAAUUAUUGGGCGUAAAGAGCUCGUAGGCGGUUUGUCGCGUCGAAUGUGAAAACCCGGGGCUCAACCCCGGGCCUGCAUUCGAUACGGGCAGACUAGAGUUCGGUAGGGGAGUCUGGAAUUCCUGGUGUAGCGGUGAAAUGCGCAGAUAUCAGGAGGAACACCGGUGGCGAAGGCGGGACUCUGGGCCGAUACUGACGCUGAGGAGCGAAAGCGUGGGGAGCAAACAGG